rnacentral:rRNA from 1 species
CUUGAAUAAGCAUAAGAGGUCCAGCCUGCCCAGUGACCAUGUUCAACGGCCGCGGUAUCCUAACCGUGCGAAGGUAGCGUAAUCACUUGUUCUUUAAAUAAGGACUAGUAUGAACGGCAUCACGAAGGUUACACUGUCUCCUCUUUCUAAUCAGUGAAACUAAUCUCCUCGUGAAGAAACGAGGAUAAACAUAUAAGACGAGAAGACCCUAUGGAGCUUCAAACUAUAAAGCACCUGCCCCAGUAUUACUUAAUUCCAGAAAACCACACCUACCCAGGCAAGAUGACCUUUAGUUUUAGGUUGGGGUGACCGCGGAGCAAAAAAAAACCUCCACAUUGAAAGGAGCCAACUCCUUAGCCAAGAGCCACACCUCUAAGCACCAACAAAAAGACAUCAAUUGACCCAAUAUUUUUGAUCAACGAAC